UAAACUAUGAGUUUCUUAGAGUUGACUUUACUUUUUUUUCGAAACUGCAUCCAUAGUUUAGUUGAGUGCUUAAUAUACACUUAUUUGGUAGGUGCUGUAUAGUUUAAAUAGUUGACAUAUGAAGGUUUUGAAAGCUGUGCUCGGUGUUCUUCUAGUGAAAUAUGAGAUAAAAAUAGCUGUAAUUGAUGUGAAUGAACCUAAAUAUCGUAGUGAACUUACUGUUGAGUGAGAAUCAAUAAUUAUGAAAUCUAGAUGUAUAUUGAUGAAAUAAGAUACGGUGACUGUACAUUGCAAAGCUGAUUAGAGCAUUACGCCGAGAUUGAUGAAAUGAACAAUUGAGUCAUAGAUGUAAUAUGAUGAGUUCACAUAUUUGGAUUUACAUGCUGCAGAUUGUCCUUGUCACCAUCUGAGCAUUGCAUCAGAAGCACGUUGGAUGUCAUGUUCUUCUCGACUGAUUCCAUCGGAACAUUGCAUGAGAAGCAAGCUUGAUAUCAGAAGGCAGUGAAGGCACAAAGACGGAAUAUGGUGGAGAUUGAUACUAGGAAAAGGAGACAUGGUGGCAUAAUGUGAACGAAGAAACUCAAUCUCCAUUAAUGGAGACACUGAAGCUGCAUCGACAUCGUCUGGGCACUUAAGACUAGCAUCCAUGGCAGUAAGCAAGCAAGAAGAUGCCUGUAUUAUGCUCGUUCAUAUGUAUGAUUAAACUAAGGAUAGCAUUUGUUGAUGAGACAGCAUGUCAUUAUUGGUAUCUUUUGCUUUUUCUUUUUGUUUCGAGAAGUUGUAAAUCACAAGGCCGAUUGAAGUAGGUCAUGAAAUAGGAGCAACAGAGAAGCUUUUACUCU